rnacentral:rRNA from 1 species
GAGUUUGAUCUUGGCUCAGAUUGAACGCUGGCGGCAUGCCUUACACAUGCAAGUCGAACGGCAGCAUGAUCUAGCUUGCUAGAUUGAUGGCGAGUGGCGAACGGGUGAGUAAUACAUCGGAACGUGCCCUGUAGUGGGGGAUAACUAGUCGAAAGAUUAGCUAAUACCGCAUACGACCUGAGGGUGAAAGUGGGGGACCGCAAGGCCUCAUGCUAUAGGAGCGGCCGAUGUCUGAUUAGCUAGUUGGUGGGGUAAAGGCCCACCAAGGCGACGAUCAGUAGCUGGUCUGAGAGGACGAUCAGCCACACUGGGACUGAGACACGGCCCAGACUCCUACGGGAGGCAGCAGUGGGGAAUUUUGGACAAUGGGCGAAAGCCUGAUCCAGCAAUGUCGCGUGUGUGAAGAAGGCC